rnacentral:SRP_RNA from 1 species
GCCAGGUGUGGUGGUGCACACCUGUAAUCCCAGCUACUUGGGAGGCUGAGGCAAGGGAAUCGCUUGAACCUGGGAGGCAGAGGUUACAGUGAGCCGAGAUCGUGCCACUGUACUCCAGCCUGGGCAACAGAGUGAGACCCUGUCUCAA